UACGUAGGUGGCGAGCGUUAUCCGGAAUUAUUGGGCGUAAAGAGCGCGCAGGUGGUUGAUUAAGUCUGAUGUGAAAGCCCACGGCUUAACCGUGGAGGGUCAUUGGAAACUGGUCGACUUGAGUGCAGAAGAGGGAAGUGGAAUUCCAUGUGUAGCGGUGAAAUGCGUAGAGAUAUGGAGGAACACCAGCGGCGAAGGCGGCUUCCUGGUCUGUAACUGACACUGAGGCGCGAAAGCGUGGGGAGCAAACAGGAUUAGAUA
rnacentral:rRNA from 1 species